CUUAAACUUAUCUCUCUCUCACAGCCAUAAAGGGUUGGCGAAUGGGGAAGAAGAGGGAAGAAAGGGAUAUGGUUAAGUUCUUUGAUGGAGUUAUAGAGGCCAUGCCAGUGUUUGCCAAGGAGCUGGUUGCCGGGGGAGUUGCUAGUGGGAUUGCAAAGACUGUGGUUGCUCCCCUCGAGCGUGUCAAGAUUUUGUUUCAGGCACAAUUGGGUUGGACUUUCUAGUUGUGAGAAGCUCAGGUACCAAAUGAGGAGCAGGAGGAGUGCUGAGGAAUUUGGAGAGAAGAGAAACUGAAUACAUGAGGCUACAAAGACAUGCUGAUCCAACUUGAAGGAGGCAUUUUGCGGUUGGUAUUUGGUUGAUAUUUAACAGGACCACCCAAGAAGCUUCAUGGGGUUGACAAAUAUAACGCAUAAGAUGUAGAACCAAUAGCAGUAGUUUUAGAACAACUUCACAAGAGAGAUAUAACAUGAAUAAAGCAGACAGUGAUGGCUUGCUGUAGCGGUUGUACUUUAGUUGUGGGAUUGAUGUUUAUUGUAUGUGUGCUAUUUGCUAAUAACAACAGAUAUUUGGCUAUUACUUGUAAUGAGCGUUAGAGUUUGUUCCUACUUCGUACUGAUGUAGUGUAUUGUCACUAACUGUUUGAAUAGUUUGCAUGGGUUUACAUUUUUUUUUUUAUG